UCAUAUGCUUGUCUCAAAGAUUAAGCCAUGCAUGUCUAAGUACGUGCCUAAGAAAGGUGAAACCGCGAAUGGCUCAUUAAAUCAGUUAUGGUUCCUUAGAUCGUACCUUACUACUUGGAUAACUGUGGUAAUUCUAGAGCUAAUACAUGCAGCAGAGCUCCGACCUUCGGGGACGAGCGCUUUUAUUAGACCAAGACCAAUCGGACUUCGGUCCGAAGCUCAUGGUGACUCUGGAUAACUUUGGGCUGAUCGCACGGUCUCGUACCGGCGACGCAUCUUUCAAGUGUCUGCCUUAUCAACUUUCGAUGGUAGGUUAUGCGCCUACCAUGGUCGUAACGGGUAACGGGGAAUCAGGGUUCGAUUCCGGAGAGGGAGCCUGAGAAACGGCUACCACAUCCAAGGAAGGCAGCAGGCGCGCAAAUUACCCACUCCCGGCACGGGGAGGUAGUGACGAAAAAUAACAAUACGGGACUCUAUUGAGGCCCCGUAAUUGGAAUGAGUACACUCUAAAUCCUUUAACGAGGAUCUAUUGGAGGGCAAGUCUGGUGCCAGCAGCCGCGGUAAUUCCAGCUCCAAUAGCGUAUAUUAAAGUUGUUGCGGUUAAAAAGCUCGUAGUUGGAUCUCAGUUCCAGACGGGUGGUCCACCCCUGGUGGUUACUGCCUGGCCUGAACAAAUCCAGCCGGUUUUCCUUGAUGCUCUUCACCGAGUGUCUUGGGUGACCGGCACGUUUACUUUGAAAAAAUUAGAGUGCUCAAAGCAGGCGUGACGCCUGAAUAAUGGUGCAUGGAAUAAUGGAAUAGGACCUCGGUUCUAUUUUGUUGGUUUUCGGAACACGAGGUAAUGAUUAAGAGGGACAGACGGGGGCAUUCGUAUUGCGACGCUAGAGGUGAAAUUCUUGGACCGUCGCACGACGAACUACU
rnacentral:rRNA from 1 species